GUGCCGAGCCGAGCAGAGCCGAGCAGAGCCGGCGGCUGCGGCGCUUCCCCGCCUUGGCAGCCGCGCUGCGUGCGAGGCAUCCAACCCAGAGCAGCGUCUGAGCGUUGCGUCGAGGUCCAAACUGGAAAUACGGGGGUUUUUAAGGAAAGCCCUUCGAGCCGGUGCCGAUAUUUAAUGACUCGUAGGGGCCGUUGAGAUGCGGAAUAAAACGCUCCCCGCGUUAAUAAAGACGGGGCGCUAGAAUAUCGCAACGAGAAAACUGUAGAGCUCCCAGAAAGGGUGCAGAAAACAGCCAUCUUGAAUAUUUUAAUCUCUGGCAAGUGUUUCUUUGGAACAAAAUGGAUGUUGGAGGGAAGCAGCGUAGUUAACGUUGCCGGAGCCUCCCGUGACCAACGGCAGCCGAACUCCGGGCACGGAGCGGGCGGGCUGAGCGGACGCCGCAGCCUUUCAUCCGCCUACAGUGGCAAUAAAUAAUCAUCGGGGAACGCCGCGCUCUGGAAACCCCGCACUCCUCUGAGCGACGGCGCUUUUGUCACGCGCGGUCCGUAUCGAUCUGUUCGCAUCGACAGAAGUCGCGCGCGGUGCCGUGGGAUCGCCGUCAGGGCUCCUUCGGCACCGACGGGCGGUCGGCUCCGACCCGCCGAGGGGCGGCUGCGGGGGCGCCGUGCGGGAUCGCCCCGAGCGCCGCGAGAGGAGCGGGAGGCGAAGGGGGUUUUGGUGCCCGCGGGUCGGGUCAGGCCGGGCCGGACGGUUCGUUGCGUAUUCGUGAUACGAACCGAUUACCCCAAGGAUCCAUUGUUUGCCCAUAAAAAUCACUCUGGGCUGAAAUUAGCCUUACAAAUCCCCGGGAUUUUUUUUUCUUCUCCGCUUUUUCUCAAAUGGAUUAACAGCUGUCUUUUUUCUCUCUCUUGUUUUCUUUUUUUCCCUCCCCAGACUGAUGGUGAAAACAAAUACAACGUGUUUUCAGAUGCUUUUGGUUUUCACAAAACUCCCAAAUUGCAUUCCCUUCCCUUCUUCCUUUAUUGUUUCUUUUCUUUUUUCUUUUUUUUUUUUCCUUUUCUUUUUUUUUUUUUUCCUCUUUUAACUCCCAAUUUUGGGGCCCUUUCAUGCCGGUUAGGCCUCUCUAAAUUUCAAAAACCAUUGUCUGAAGGCACGAGUGUGAGCAGCGAGUGCCGGAGGGCGGCAAGGCGGCGGGUCAGGCUCAGGGCUCGGGGAGGCGUCUUCGAGGCGUUAUUUAUUUAGUUAGGUCCUUUUUGCUGUUUGCUUACUUUGGACCCGCUCCUCCUGCAGAUAAGCUCGGCAGAAACAGCUCGGUGAAAAAAACAAAACCCAAAGAGAGCUAAUAAAAAUAAGGCAGAGAUGGCGGGGAAGCAUUGUCCGAAGAUUAAAGAAGAGGACUGCAGGGCAGAGCUGCCUGAUUUUAUUGACUUACAGGUUUCCUUAAUGGCAAUUUAAGCAAAAUCUCUUUUCCUGGGUGCUGAGAGUGAGUUUCCCGGUAAGAUCUGCGUUGUUCUUCUCGAAGUUUCUGAGUUUUCAAGGCAGUUUUGAAUGUCUGCAUACACAUUUCCUGGUAAUUUCAGACCCUGAAUACAGAUUUACUUUCAGUAUCUGAACGUUUUUGCUUUUAUUUCUCUGUGCCAUACUUUCCCCCGUGGAUUGAUGCCUUAAAAUAUAUUUAGCAUCUGUUCCAUAGGAAUCCCGAUGUUUGAGCAGUGUUCCUUGAGACUGCUGGAGCAAAAGGCACUGCGAAGUCACACAGCAUACAGCUCUUUCCUACAACUGAGCACGUGGGAAUGUGAAAAGAACCGUGGUAUGAAAAGCAGUGAGCAGAACUGCUGCAGUCCGAGUGGCGGUCUGCAUCGGGGCAGAGCUGCAGCCUUCUGUUUCUGUAAGAAAAAAAAGGAAGAGCCCAGAAACAAUAGAUGGUAACGGAGCCGCUGACUUCUGAAUGGACAUCUCAUCCUAAAAAUGAAAUCAGCAUUCCGUUAGCUCAACUUGUUACUGCUGCCCACGGAACAGGCAGCUCUUGGCUGCACUGGGAACGUGGGGGACUGCUGUAGGAACAGAGUGAGGGCUUCAAAUGAGUGGAAAGCUUAAAGAGCCGCAUGAACCUGUCACGAAAGCCCGAUGUGGGAAAGGCAUGUGGGAUGCCAGGGAGGGAACAGGGUGCCAAGAAGGGGCUGAGGAGAUACACACACCUCUCCAUUUUGUUAUCGGAUGUGAAAGGCAAAGAAAUGUGAUCAGAGCACCUAAGUUAAAAAUGACUUUUUAAUGAGGACUGAAGAAAACCAAAAAUAGGAUAUUAUCUUCUGUAAAUAAUAUGGCUUUUAUUCAUACGAUCCAUUUGCCCUCGUAUACCUAAAACACUGUUACAUGAGACUAGGUCAGGCACUUACCUGUGCUCACUGCAGUGUUCGUUUGUCAGCAUCAGGAGCUUUGGUAAAACCCUGCGAGCUCAGCUGCACACUGAUGUGCAUGGACUGAUGGGCUGAGAAGGCUGUGGGGCUGUGCCCAUCCACACGUUCCAGCAGCGCACGGGAAAUCUGGCAGCUUCUACAUCAGUGAGGCCAAAGGGGUCCGUGAGUCUGUGCUCACUGGAACGGACAGGGCGCUCCCAUCGCUUUCUUUUCUGCUAACAACUAUGAGGUGUGUAUGGGAGCAGGGCUUGAACAAGCUGAGCACUGUUGGAAAAAAUAGCUAGUUAGGAAUCAGUGUACUUAGAUCAGCUGUACUGCUUAGAAGGUGACUGUGAGGUGAUGCAGUAAUGCGGCAGAGAUCAGUUUUGGACUCCUUUCUGUGGAUUUCUUGCAAACAUUUCUCGUUCUCUCCUACUUGUGUGCUCACAUCACUUCUCCAGCUCCCUCUUGUUCUCCCACUUGGAUGAGACCGGGCGCUUACGGGGGCAGCUGGUCAAAAUUCAGACCUCUGCUGUUAUUUGGGGACAUCGUCUACCUGAUGUUUUUUUCUCCUGGAUGAAUGAACCAUUCUGAAACUCAGUUUGUCUUUGCUGAUUGGCCCCUCUUUGCUUCCCGGCGCCGGGGUGGAGGCAGUCCGAUGCUCACGUGCUGAGCGCUGCUGGGCCUCGUGGGACCACGGCCUUACAGUGCUCCGAGCGGCGAGGGGAUGGAGCGCUCCGAGCUGCGGUGCGGGGGAGGAGGAGCGCACAGCCCCCGGCAGUGGGAGCGCAGCAGUGAGCGGCCUCUGCUUCUCCCUCCGAGCGGCUCCCCCCCUUGGAACUCUCUCCGCUGCCUGCCUGUGUUCAUCGCUUAAAAAAUGAGGAUCUUCUGCAUGCCCAGCCUCAAUAUUUCCUUUUUUUUUUUUUUCGGUCAUAAGAUCCAGCACUUGCUUUUUACUGCUGUCACAUGCUUUAAAAUCGCAGGUACGCCGGUUGGAAAGGUAAUAAUUAGGAGCUUAUUGUGGAAAGAAGAUAAGAUUAGCUGCAGGAGAGAUUUAUUGUUAGCAAAUGAAUAGCCCCGUUUUCGGGAUGUAAGAGACUCAUACGGAUUGCCCCUGGACACUUUCUUAGUUUCCAGUUCGCAUUAGCACCAAAGGAACCUUUUGGGGCCUAUUACCCAGCUUUGGAAAGUUUUCUCGUAGUGGAAAAAAUGGUGCGGCUUCAGAUUUGAAUAUCCUGGGGCUCUUCCGUUCUUGAUCCGGGCUUCAGCUCUGAGCCGGAGGUUGGUGUCGGUGUCCGAAGGACCGGCAGGGAGCACACAGCUGCACAGGUAACCUCUCCCUUUGCAGUGGGCUGCUUGGAAAACCGGAACCGAGCGUCCUGGUUGGAAACAACUGGAUCCAACUAAAGGCUGUGGGACUGAGACUCAUUUAAAUCAUUGAGAGUUUGUGUGCUGCUUUUAAAUGCUGUUUCUGUGAGCACAUAAAUCCCGUUCAGCAAUAUUGCCAAAGUGCAAUUUUAUGCGACGUGCCCUAUGUAAUGGUAUGUGAUGCAAGCCCACAGCUUCUCCUUCAGCGUUUCAAACAAAACUUCUGGAUGAGCUCUUCAGCUGAUGGUUGGUGCUGCUCCUUUUGCUUUAGGGGAGAUGUGAUGUUUUAUACCACCCUCGGAGAGGUCUCCCUUCCUAAUGUUAUUUCCUUGGGUCUCUUUCACGUGGUGUUUCUCUGUCAUUUCAUUUUCAUUCUUUUACUGAGAACCUUAAAUGCUUCCCUGUAAACCUUAAAAAAUCCACUUCCAUCCUUGGCAUCAAAUAUAACAAUAGAACUUGUUCUUACAUCUCUCCGUGGUACAAUAUAGAGGCAUUGCCAAAAGCUAUCCGCUAUCAUUACAAACAUGGGAAUGGAGGACAUAUAUAAACACAGAAGUGUAACCUCUUUCUCCAAUAAGAUUUUAUAAUAGCAACAGUGAACUUGACCCAGCGCAUUUCCUGUAGGGAUAAGGUGACCCGCAGGGGUUAAUGGCCCGUGGCUUUGCCUUGGGCUAUCAUCUCACCCAGCCAGUGAUUAAUCCUGAAGAAAUGCCCUUUGCUCCCAUCAUUAUCCCUUAAAUGGAGCCUUUAGAAUUCAAAAUGAUUUUGGAAUGGAAUCUACUGCUGCCCUGCACUCCUUUCAUUGCAGGGAACUUUACUGUAACUGCUUGUCACACUUGCAUAAAUAACCUUCAGAGGGGAAACAAAAAAAGAUUAAAGGACUGGCCCAGAGACAGGGAAUAAAACUCCAGUGCACGCUGCCACUGCCAAUAAUAUUCCAAUGGCAGAGCGGUGCAAUAGCAGGGGGGUACCACUGCUGCAGCAAGCAGAGGAAUAUUUACAGCACAUAAUAAUUUUUGUGUGCAAGCACAGACUGUGGCAUAUUUUCAGGCAGAAAUGUGUUAUGUUUUUGAUUGUUUACUUAGCUGCUUACCAGGCGUAUUCUGGAGAAACGAGGUUAUUUUCAUAAACUGAUGAUGGGAAGGUCCCUGCAAUGGGAACUCACGGUUUGAAAAGCUGUAUAAGGAAUUGGGUUAUUCCCUUAGACAGACAGAAUGCAGAAAAGGCUGAGAAUAUGGAGACUGCAUUACGAUUCAAAACAAAGUUUCAUCUCAUCUUCUGCAUUCUCCUGCACAUCCAUCAUCUGCAAAUCGUAUCUCCUGGCAGAGCGUCUCAGGCAUUUUUGGGGCCUAUUGCUUAUAUUUUAUUCCUCAGAAUGCAGUAAAGUCUGUGUUAGUAGAGCAAUCUGUGAUCUGAGUCACUUCCUUACUCCCUUCUUACACCAGCUAAUGGAGGUUUCAUAUUUGCCCAUACUGAGAUAGACGUGACUGGUACAUGUGGCUGUAGAAGCAGUUAAUUUUACCUACAGGCUUCUAUGUUUUAAUAGACACAAGUUUUCUAAUACACAGUUUCAGUGUUCCAAAUUGGAAGUUAUUGAAGAUUAGUGCCAGACAACCAGUUGAAAGUUAACAGCCGUGGAAGCCAGACUGGCUGCUGUGCCUUUGUGGUGUGUUUGCCAGCGGCUGUGGCAUGAAGGUACGUCGUUGGAUGAUGGGACUCAGUAGAGCAGAUUGACAGUUGGACUUGAUGAUCCUGAGGUCUUUUCCAACCUAUGUGAUGGAAUCUAGACCUGUAUGUACUUAGUGUUGUGUUUUGUCUUUUCUUGUUGGUUUAAAUUUAAUCCAGCCUUUCACCUUCUGCAGGAGCCAGGGAAACUCAUGCAAUGCUAUUGCUUUGUGCUGCUGCUGGGCCAGGCCUGCCAUAGGGACAGAUAUGAGAAUGCAGUUCUUUGGCUUGCUAUUCCUCUUUCUUAACAGCAGUCUCAGUGAUCUCACUUGUACCUCACCAUGCAUUGGUGGUGUGCCAGUGAAGCCCUGAGCUGGCUGGAGGAUGUGUCAGACUGUAUGAAGAUGCAGGACCCCUCGGGAUGCCCUGGGAGAGCUACACCUGCCAGAAGGUGCAAGGCUGGCCAGGGAGCUCUCUCUGUCCGACCUGCUCCCUCAUGUUAUGAAAUAUUUUCCCCAUGCUUUUCCUCACAUUUUCUUCGUAUGCUAACAUUAAGGUAACACUGAGUAUAGUUUUGUAACAAUAAGGAGAGGUUCAGAUUGGGUAUUAGGGAGAAUCUCUUAGAAAAGAGCCAUGAGGCAUCAGAACGGGCUGCCCAGGGAGGUGGUGGAGUCACCAUCCCUGGAGAUGUUAAAGGAAAGGGUGCAGGUGUGGCACUGAGGGAUGUGGUUAGUGGGCAGUAUUGGUGGUCAGUGGGUGGCUGGACUAGAUGAUCUUAGUGGUCUUUUCCAGCCUGAAUGAUUCUAUGAUUCUUCUAUGAGUCUAUUAACUCA